rnacentral:rRNA from 1 species
UUUGAUAGUAACUGAUCAGGUAGUGACGGUAUCCAACCAGAAAGCCACGGCUAACUACGUGCCAGCAGCCGCGGUAAUACGUAGGUGGCAAGCGUUGUCCGGAUUUAUUGGGCGUAAAGCGAGCGCAGGCGGUUUCUUAAGUCUGAUGUGAAAGCCUUCGGCUCAACCGAAGAAGUGCAUCGGAAACUGGGAAACUUGAGUGCAGAAGAGGACAGUGGAACUCCAUGUGUAGCGGUGAAAUGCGUAGAUAUAUGGAAGAACACCAGUGGCGAAGGCGGCUGUCUGGUCUGUAACUGACGCUGAGGCUCGAAAGCAUGGGUAGCAAACAGGAUUAGAUACCCUGGUAGUCCAUGCCGUAAACGAUGAGUGCUAGGUGUUGGAGGGUUUCCGCCCUUCAGUGCCGCAGCUAACGCAUUAAGCACUCCGCCUGGGGAGUACGACCGCAAGGUUGAAACUCAAAGGAAUUGACGGGGGCCCGCACAAGCGGUGGAGCAUGUGGUUUAAUUCGAAGCAACGCGAAGAACCUUACCAGGUCUUGACAUCCUUUGACCACUCUAGAGAUAGAGCUUUCCCUUCGGGGACAAAGUGACAGGUGGUGCAUGGUUGUCGUCAGCUCGUGUCGUGAGAUGUUGGGUUAAGUCCCGCAACGAGCGCAACCCUUAUUACUAGUUGCCAGCAUUUAGUUGGGCACUCUAGUGAGACUGCCGGUGACAAACCGGAGGAAGGUGGGGACGACGUCAAAUCAUCAUGCCCCUUAUGACCUGGGCUACACACGUGCUACAAUGGAUGGUACAACGAGUCGCGAGACCGCGAGGUUUAGCUAAUCUCUUAAAACCAUUCUCAGUUCGGAUUGUAGGCUGCAACUCGCCUACAUGAAGCCGGAAUCGCUAGUAAUCGCGGAUCAGCAUGCCGCGGUGAAUACGUUCCCGGGCCUUGUACACACCGCCCGUCACACCAUGAGAGUUUGUAACACCCAAAGCCGGUGAGGUAACCUUCGGGAGCCAGCCGUCUA